UUUUAAUUAACCCUGAUCUCCAGAGAUCUUAAUUGGAAAGCUUUAAAGCGGCUACAAGGUUUAUCCUUUGACCCCAUCUCUGGGGAGUUUUGAAUGCUGACCUACUUUUUUGCCUUUAUUAAUAUGAAAAAUUCCCAAACUUCAAGCACUUAAGAUUUCAAGACCAAAAUUAAGUUGGGUUUGAUAAGUUGACUUGAGUCAUCCCUGCCUGACCUAGCGACUUCACUUGGCAUUGUUGUCACACUUACAAGAAGUUACAGUAAUGUUGAAUGGGACUUGUAAGAGGCUUCCUUCCCUCUGUCUUUGAAGCCAUAUUCUGCCUGCGUGUAUUAUAAGGAAGUGGUAAUUUCAGUAGCUUUUCUAUUCCUGACCUUUUUCAUUCUUGUUUUCUUGUGGUCCAAUCCCUUCCACACACAGCUAAAGGAAAGCUACAAAAUAAAACACACACAGAAACAAACUUAUAAGCUGUUUAACGUGUAAGCCAAAGCCAAUAAUGAUUGAAGGUUUUCUGUGUCUUCUGUAAUUGUUAAUCACUUUGCAAAAGGGGGUGAAAUGUCAAAUUGCCUGUAUUUGCAUUUCUGGACUGUAAACUUUGUAUGUAAUAUAAUGUGUGUGGUUUUUAAUUGAGCUGUAUAAUCUGUUUAUUUUGAGGCCUACAGAACUGUAUGGUUUUUUUACUUAAUGUAAUAUAGGGGACCCUUCUCAUUCUCAAAAAAACAUUUUCCAAAACCUCUGAAUAUCUAAAUUUGGUAAGCUACUGUAACAUACUACAGUAAGGUAUAAGUAAUUAAAACCUUUAAAUGGCCCAUAGUGUUUAACUAAAAACCUGAUAAAACAUGGGGAGGUGGAGGGACUACUACACUUAAAAGCUGCCACGUCGUCAUCCCUGAGUAACUGCCUUAUAGUCCAGCUCUGUGUGUCUGAGGUCCGAAUUAGAGCCUUGGGAGUGUAGGAUGUAUUACUUCUUAGUGUAGACUGGGAACAGUUGACAACUUGAGUCUUCAGGUGCCAGGCGUCUACUAUAGCAUCAGUAAGUAUUUAGCAGAAACUAACUCCAUAAUGAAUGGAAUUCAAUUCCACACAUGGUUUGUUCAAGCACACUUAAUAAGUAGUCUACUUUUAAAUGUCUUUUUUUAAAAAUGUAAAUACUUGGAUGAAGCUUUUCUUUGUUUCAAUAUAGUCAUUUACAUCAUG
rnacentral:lncRNA from 1 species